UACAGAGGUCCCGAGCGUUGUUCGGAUUCACUGGGCGUAAAGGGUGCGUAGGUGGCAUGGUAAGUUUGAUGUGAAAGCUCAGGGCUCAACCCUGAAAUGGCAUUGAAUACUACUGUGCUGGAGGUUUGGAGGGGGGACUGGAAUUCUUGGUGUAGCAGUGAAAUGCGUAGAUAUCAAGAGGAACACCGGUGGCGAAGGCGGGUCUCUGGGCCGAUACUGACGCUGAGGAGCGAAAGCGUGGGGAGCGAACAGG
rnacentral:rRNA from 1 species